GUUCAAUCGAAAUUUUGCACUGUGGUCAAAGGAAAAGGAAUACAUGUAUCUACCUUUUAGCAUCCCUGAUCUCCCCAAAAACUAUGAACAUUGUGCAAGAAUUCGGAUACAUAACCUUGGGAAUGAAUAUUUUGUUUUGAACGGCAUUUUGAGAAAGAUUCUUUGAAUGAGGAUAUCAGGCUAAUCCAUUUUCUUUUGGAAACCAAUGAAAAACUCAUAUGCAGAACCUAUUGACCAACCUGGACUAUCAGCAUCUAAGGAAACAGCUCAAUGAAGACAUGAAUAGUGACUAAAAUCCAUAUUGAAGAAUAAAUUAACUUUGUGCAACAUAUACAGAUAGAAUUGCCCAGUCAUUGUCCAUCAUAUGUGCUAAGGAAUGUUCAAGUGAAGAAUGAAGAAGUGAA